AUAGAACUGUUGUGGAAGAUAUCAGCUUGUCAGCAAAGCCGAAACCCAAAGCAUAAAUGCAAUAGUGGCAGAAUGCAAGCUGAGUGACAGAAAAAGAGUGGUGGUGAACUGUUGAUUCUUGGUGGACAUAAGUAGACAAUGAGCUUAAUAAAAACCGAAAGAACUGCAGAUGCUGUAAAUCAAGAACAAGAACAGAAGUUGCUGAAAAUCUCAGCAGACGUGGCAACAUCUGUGAAGAAAAAAUCAGAGUUAACGUUUUGGGUGACUGUCUAAGAUCAAGGAAGUUCACUGGUAUUUAAUAUCCAUCGCUGUUUACCUCAGAAAGCGCGUCUGGAGAAAUAUUCUAAUACAUGAACAGAUUCUACCAAACAAUCAUUCUACAUAUAAAGGUAAAUGUACUCCACAAAUUAAACUCAAAAUGAGGUCUGAAGAUGUUUUGCUUAUGAACCACAAAAAACCUCAACAGAUGUACAAGAUAAUACAAGUAAAAUAAAACAAAAAUAAUGAUCCAAUCGCUGUCUUGGAAUAGUUACCAAAACAUUAGCUGGCUUCCAAAGGCUUGUGUAGGUGUUAAUAAAAGUAUACCCAGUAUGAAUGAAACUACAAAAUUAACAUUAGCAGUGAUGGAGGAAAUGUACCAAUCUUGUAGACCUUUGCAGGUCAGUGUUUGGAUUUACUUUUUUUUGUAAGGAAGGAUUAUCCACAUCAUUAACAAACUCAAAUUCAAAAAGGACCAUUGACCUCAUGCACAGUUGUACUUUGUAUCAAGAUCACAAUGAUAUGGGAGAUAUCCAAUGGCAUACAAUAAAUACAAAGGUCACGUACAGUAAGAUGGAUUCUCAAGUCAAUCCAGUGGAUUACUAUUGAGCGAGAAGAAGAGUUGCUCAUCAUAUUAGUGUUCCCCUUUAUGCCAUGUUAAACUUUGAGAUCUCAGACAAGCGGUACGUAUGAAGCAAUUGAUGGAGGCGUGGAUCAAGACAUGGACUUUGUCAUGUGCUCACGUGUCCUGUACAGACCUGACACUAUUCUUCUCAAAUGUUGGGAUGUCUUGAUAGCACAUGU